rnacentral:rRNA from 1 species
AGGAUGAACGCUGGCGGUCUGCUUAACACAUGCAAGUCGAACGGGCGUAGCAAUACGUUAGUGGCGGACGGGUGAGUAACGCGUGAGAAUCUACCUUCAGGACGGAGACAACAGUUGGAAACGACUGCUAACCCCCGAUGUACCGAAAGGGCAAAUAUUUAUAGCCUGAAGAAGAGCUCGCGUCCGAUUAGCUAGUUGGAGAGGUAAAAAGCUCACCAAGGCGACGAUCGGUAGCUGGUCUGAGAGGACGAUCAGCCACACUGGGACUGAGACACGGCCCAGACUCCUACGGGAGGCAGCAGUGGGGAAUUUUCCGCAAUGGGCGAAACCCUGACGCAGCAACGCCGCGUGGAGGAUGAAUAUCUUGGUAUGUAAACUCCUUUCGAUGGGGAAGAUAAUGACGGUACCCAUAGAAGAAGCCCCGGCUAACUUCGUGCCAGCAGCCGC